GGACUACCCGGGUUUCUAAUCCUGUUCGCUCCCCACGCUUUCGCUCCUCAGUGUCAGGUAAGGCCCAGAGAACCGCCUUCGCCACCGGUGUUCCUCCCGAUAUCUGCGCAUUUCACCGCUACACCGGGAAUUCCAUUCUCCCCUACCUACCUCCAGCCCGCCCGUAUCCACUGCAAGCCCAGGGUUAAGCCCCAGGAUUUCACAGCAGACGCAGCAAGCCACCUACGAGCUCUUUACGCCCAAUAAUUCCGGACAACGCUCGCGCCCUACGUAUUACCGCGGCUGCUGGCAC
rnacentral:rRNA from 1 species